GGCCUUAUAUCUCCGACAACGAAGAGUUUACUAGCCUUACCAGGUAUGACACGGCCUUAUAUCUCCGACAACGAACAGUUUACUAGCCUUACCAGGUAUGACAUGGCCUUAUAUCUCCGACAACGAAGAGUUUACUAGCCUUACCAGGUAUGACACGGCCUUAUAUCUCCGACAACGAACAGUUUACUAGCCUUACCAGGUAUGACAUGGCCUUAUAUCUCGGACAACGAACAGUUUACUAGCCUUACCAGGUAUGACACGGCCUUACAUCUCGGACAACGAACAGUUUACUAGCCUUACCAGUUCGGAUACUCACCAGUCAUGAUAAAGAUAACAACUGUCAAUUUUAUAAAUUGUAUAUGUAUCACUAUACUAAUGUUUGUAAGCUAGGUCUCAGAUCUUUCAGAUACUCUGAAAAUCGCCCGCUGACCUGGGUAAACAUCAUAAUAAAGUUUAUAUUUCGCAUUCAU